UGCCUCCCGCCGCCACCCCGCGCCGCCUCUCCCCUUCUGCCCCGCACACACCGCAGCCGCGCGCCAUGGCGUUGCCAGGAGGAGCGCCUGCUCGCGCGCCGCAAUCCCCUUCUCAUAGCUAAACCGUAUCUCCGCAACUAGAAACGCGCGGUUCUACUGGCAGCUCGCGAGAUCCACACGGCGGCCGGGAGAUGGAGGGCGGCGACCGGCGGCGGGGAGCAGCGCCGGAGGGGCGGCGGCCGGAGGAGCGGCGGCCGGAGGUGGAGGGCGGCGGCCGGAGCUCCAUCUUCCCCGAGCUACAGUAAUCCAAAUCAACCACUCCGUGAGUCUCCUCCUCCCCCGAUUUCUUCCUCAACCCUAGCCGCCAUGGCCGCGACUCCCUCCUCCCCCAAUUUCUUCCUCUCCCCGAGGCUCAGCCUCCAUGCUCUCCUCGUCUCGGUUGCAGCGUGCCGCCGCGCGGUGGGAGGAGCGGCUGGGCAGUAGCGCGGCGACAUUCCCAUCGUCUUUGGCAAAGGAGGCCAGCUGCAGACGGAUGUUCUGCGGUUGGGUCCUCCAGCUCGUGCUGCUCCGCGCGAGCAGCAACAGCGCCGGCGGAUGAUGCGGGAGAUCGCCAAGAGCCAGGACUCCCAGCUCCUUCGAUUUCGUCGAAGUCACCGCGGUUCUCCCUUAUCCACCUUCCUCCCGCGUCCUCUCUCGAUGAUGUUGGCCAGCAGCACAACAACCUACCGUCUUGUCCUCUUCUUCAUUGGAGAUCUACAGGUGUUGCUGAUUCUUAUUAUUUGAUCGAGCUCAGCCUCCUCUGCUCCCUCUUCAUCUUGCACGGUGCCUCAUAGGUGUCUGCCAGUUUUAUGAUAGAGCUCCUGGUGGAUGGCCUUCUCAGUCCACUGGUUGGGACAUCUUCAGCAUCAGAUACCGUGUCGUUGGCUGUUGUGCUCAACACCCACAUGUUGGCCCUUCGCUCAGAUCUGAAGUGAUGAAAGGUUUGAAUUUUUCAAGAGGUGAGAUGACACAGCAGGAGAUUAAAGAUCCAAAGUCUUCACUUAACAGGUUGGUUUCUUCUCUUUGGCAUAUGCAUAGGAGACGUAAGUGGAGUAUGCAAUACACACUGCAAACUUGCAGUUGCGUAGCUGUUUGAUAGGUGUGGAAAUGUUCUUAUACAGCAAGACUAGAUUAUUGAUAUUUACAUCGCUUUGGUAUAUGUGCAACAGGGUAGUUUUGAUUCAGCCUGAGAUGGAAAUUAUAUCAUUCCACUGCAUCUUGCAUCUCAGUUUUGAUCGGUUAUGACUUGAUAGACUAUCAAAGCUAGCAGAAUGGCUGAUAGACUGUCGAAGCUAGCAGAAUAGCAGAAUGGUUGACAACCUUUGCACAAUUAUGAUUAUUUACUUUUUGAUGAAACAAGGAUUAAUCAUAUAUGUGAAAUUAGAAGAGUAGUGUUGUUAACAUUCUAUGUGAAAGUGGAAGGGGUUCAAGGGUAGCUUAGACGUGAGACCUGCCACCAAUCAACUAUGUAGCUUUACCGAUCAGUUCUUGAGUGGUUGAAAAAUGGAAUAAUUUUUCAUGAUGCUAGAUAUUUCCUUAUGAUUUAACAAUAUGGUCCAGCAGUGGUAGUCAUUGUUCUGUAUUACUAGCCUGUAUUUCUUGUCUCAGUUGUCUUCAUUACCAAUUGUCAUUUAUAAAUAUUGAAGAAACCAAUCUGGUUGCUCACUUAUAUUUUAGAAUCCAUAUUAUCUAUUCUCGGAAUGGUUCUGUGUCCAUCUCCUGUAGAUUAAUCACCUGAUAAGAAACACCUACGAGAUAAAAUUAUGCUGUGAGAAUGCUGGGUAUUUACCUAUUUUUUUGCGGGUAGUAGUUACAUAUUAUGUAACACAAAUAGUAUAGGUAGAAGAGGGUUUGGAAUUACAACUGUGAGUUAAGUGUUCUUUCUAGCUUUAGCGUGCUGGGAGUCCCCACUCUCAAGUUAUAGGACCAGUGACAUACAUGUGGCAUCAUUCUCAUGAGAGAGUAGAAAUCAGAUGCCAAAGAAUGAGAUUUUUCCAAUUCCCAUCAUACAGUUGUUUGUAAGGCCAAUUAUGGAUAUGGAUCCAUCUUUGUGGCUUGGAUGAAAUUCAGGGUUGAAGCCUGAAGAGGAGCCUUUCAUUUUCUUGAUCCAUAUAGGCUUAUAAGCUGGAAAUUUCUUUAAUUGGAGUUUAGGUGAUUUGUUGGGUUCUGAUCAAUGGCAUUUAAUCCUUAGAGGUUAAUGUUUUAGUACUGAGGGCAUAAUUCUUGAUGGAGUGUUUGGGUUGGGCUACCUGAAACAGAAUGUGCAGAAGCGGGGGCUCGACUUGCCCAUCCCGCGUGGCAAGUUUGAAGAAAUCAUCCCUUCAAUUGCAAAGGCUCUAGGUGUACAUGGUAAGCAUAUCUAAAAAAUCAUAUUCGAUGAGCAUGUUAUUUUAGUUUGAUGUGGAGUUUCUGGGUCCUUGGGUACAUAGAUUCAUGUUACUCACCUAUUCACUGUGCAUUUUAUUUCAAUUUGACAUGGAAUUUCUGGGUCCUUGGCUACUAAUUCAAGUCAGCGGAGUGCCUGCAUGGCCACACUAUCCCGAUGUUAGAAACAGUAACCAUAUGGUUUCAAUGUGGAAUCACGCCGCCCUCUCUCGCUAUCAUCCAUCCCCACUUUAACCAUCCAAUACUGCUGGCGGAUCGUACCUUGCAGCCACUGGGGAAGAAUGGGAAAUUUAAUUGUUUUAUACAUAUAGAUGGUUAGAUACAGACUUUGAUAUUCACUUAUGUUAAUGUCUUAUAGUUAUGUUAGAUCAUAUAUUCUAUUUAGUUUAAACCUAUGCACAUGUCUUUCUAAUUGAAGUUUAUAAUGUCCAUGCAUAUUGGUUAAGUUAGUCACCCAGACUACUGGCUUUUUGUAUGAGUAUGUAUAAAAGUUAAUGUACUGAAUAUAUUAACUAUGUGAGGUGUGUCCUAUAGUGAGGUAAUACAACGUGCCUUAUUUACAGUUAAGAAAAAUCCCAUAUUAUGUGGUAUCAACUGUAUUUAGUUGGAUCAUUCUCGGUCCAAUGCAUAUUGUUCUCUUAGUCAUCUAUCGGAUUGUUAUUUUCUUCUUCAUUUAUUAGUAACUUUGUAAUUCCCAAUUAAAUUUCUGUGCCUUUUCUUUGACAGGGACAACGAAUCAGAAGUAGUAUAUGCCAUACUGCAAUUCUUGUCAUAGCAGGUGACAAAAGGAGGAUCUAUUCUAUUUGGACUAAACUACAAUUUGCACCACUUGCUAAUAAUUAAUCCGCCUUGAUGGAUCUUAUGUACGAACCUGGAGGGAGAGAGGGGUCUUAAUAUGAGCAAUGUCCAGUGAGUUGUGUUGAUGUACUACCAGAAAACAAAAGAAAAGAUCAAUUAAUAUCUUAAAAUUGUAGAGUUUUUCUCAGUUUGUUAUUAAGUGUAUUACAGAAUGAUCAUCACUACAUUUUCGUAAGCAUAUGAAAAUUAUUAUCAUUUUUCUACUUAUACACGAGCUUCACGGGAUCGUGCGCCAAGGCGCACAUCUAAAU